rnacentral:rRNA from 1 species
UACGUAGGGGGCAAGCGUUGUCCGGAUUUAUUGGGCGUAAAGAGCGUGUAGGCGGCCGCACAGGUCCGUUGUGAAAACUGGAGGCUUAACCUCCAGACGUCGAUGGAAACCGUGCGGCUAGAGUCCGGAAGAGGAGAAUGGAAUUCCUGGUGUAGCGGUGAAAUGCGCAGAUAUCAGGAAGAACACCCGUGGCUAAGGCGGU